AACUACCUUUAAGUGAGGGAUAAUCUCGCGAAAGCGGGACUAAUACCGCAUGUGAUCUAAGGAUUAAAGCAGCAAUGCGCUUAAAGAAGUGCCUGCGUCCUAUCAGCUAGAUGGUGGGAUAAUAGCCUACCAUGGCAAUGACGGGUAGCUGGUCUGAGAGGAUGACCAGCCACAAUGGAACUGGGACACGGUCCAUACUCCUACGGGAGGCAGCAGUGGGGAAUCUUCCGCAAUGGGCGAAAGCCUGACGGAGCGACACCGCGUGAAGGAUGAAGGAUUUAUUUUUGUAAACUUCUUUUCUGUGGGAAGAUAAUGACGGUACCACAGGAAUAAGGGACGGCAAACUACGUGCCAGCAGCCGCGGUAAUACGUAGGUCCCGAGCGUUAUCCGGAAUUACUGGGCGUAAAGCGUCUCUAGGCCGAUAUUUAAGUUGAAUGUUAAAGACCAUGGCUCAACCAUGGGACUAUGUUCAAAACUGGAUGUCUUUGAAUCAGGGAGAGGUAAGCGGAAUUGUGUGAGUAGGGGUGCAAUCCGUUGAUACACACAAGAACACCAAAAGCGAAGGCAGCUUACUGGAACUGUAUUGACGCUCAUGAGACGAAGGCGUGGGGAGCGAAAAGGAUUAGAUACCCUUGUAGUCCACGCCCUAAACUAUGAUAGCUAAGUGUUCCCGAGUGAUCGGGAGUGCUGUAAGCAAACGCGUUAAGCUAUCCGCCUGAGAAGUACGAUCGCAAGAUUAAAACUCAAAUGAAUAGACGGGGACCCGCACAAGCAGUGGAUCAUUUGGUUUAAUUCGACGGUAAACGAGGAACCUUACCUAGACUUGACAUGUCAGGAAUUUCAGAGAAAUUUGGAAGUGCCCGCAAGGGAGCCUGAACACAGGUGUUGCAUGGUUGUCGUCAGCUCGUGCCUUGAGGUGUUCGGUUAAGUCCGUUAACGAGCGUAACCCAAGUCGUUAGUUAUUAUGUCUAACGAGACUGCUUCAGUUAAUGAAGAGGAAGGUUUGGAUGACGUCAAAUCAGCAUGGCCCUUAUGUCUAGGGCUACACACAUGAUACAAUGGUCGGUACAAAGGGUAGCAAUGCCGUAAGGUGGAGCUAAUCCCAGAAAGCCGAUCUCAGUCCGGAUUGAGGUCUGCAACUCGACCUCAUGAAGUUGGAAUUGCUAGUAAUCGUGAAUCAGCUAUGUCACGGUGAAUAUGUUCCCGGGUCUUGUACUCACCGCCCGUCAUGGCAUGGAAGGUGUUUUCACCGGAAGCUCCUGAAGCAAUAUCGGGAUCCAUGGUAAGAAUACUGACUGGGCUAAAGUCGAAACAAGGUA
rnacentral:rRNA from 1 species